AGACACACGCACGAUAUACUCUUUUACUUGUUUCAGUCAUUUGACUGCGGCCAUGCUGGAGCACCGCCUUUAGUUGAGCAAAUCGACCCCAGUACUUAUUCUUUGUAAGCCUAGUACUUAUUCUAUCGGUCUCUUUUGCCGAACCACUAAGUAACGGGGACAUAAACACACCACCAUCGGUUGUCAAGCGAUGUUGGGACGGGGGGAUGAACACAGACACACAAACAUACACACACAUAUGUACAUGUACAUAUAUAUGACGGGCUUCUUUCAGUUUCCGUCUACCAAAUCCACUCACAAGGCUUUGGUCGGCCCGAGGCUAUAGUAGAAGACAUUUGCCCAAGGUACCACGCAGUAGGACUGAACCUAGAACUAUGUGGUUGGUAAGCAAGCUAAUAUAGACAGAGAUAAGUAUUUACAGAUAAAUACCAAAUAUUACUUCGUUUUUGGAUUUGGUUUGAAAGAUUCUUUAUAUGAGUUCGUGUGUUGAAGCAUAUUCUGUUGUGUCUGGGGAGAGUUAUUAUCUUUUUUGUGCCUUAUAAUUUAACACACUCACCGGUAAAAUUUCCACUGAUUUCUUAUUUUUAUUUACCUAAAAUUUUCGUUGCAUCUUGCAACCUUUUCAAUGUGUAUUUGCUCGCAGUUGCAUUUAGAAGACUGAAUUGACAACUGGAGAUGCAGUGAGUGGAUGGUGGAGAUUUAGUUGAGUGAAGAAAGGCGACAGAAUUAUUGCAACGGUUAGAGUAGCAGGCAUUUUACUCAAACUGAAACUGAAUAUUUGUUGUAAAUUUGGAUCUUUUCGGUUUGAACGGCAGUUUUUAACAUAAUUUCUAGGUAACUAAAAAAUUUUAAACCUCGUAUACUGGUAGAAUGUGUUUAUAAAACAUCUUUUUCUCUUGGCUUUCUUGAGAAAAUUCUAUAGUUUGUAAGAUAUUUGUUGUUUUUUUCUUCUUCAAUUUCUGCAAUUUCAACCAAUCAGUGACGUCUAUUGAGUUAAAAAGCAUUCUGUGCCGUAUGAAUAUGUCCCUCGUUUAAGAAACAGAUUGGGUUUAUUUACAUUUCUGAAGAAAAAAGAUACCCUUCCCCCACCCCUAACCCUAAAAGAGAUUGAAAUGCAAUAGAUCGAUUCUAGGGUCAUAAAUAUGGGUGACAAUUUCGUAUGACACUGCUAGAAAAAACUGCUGUUCAAACCGAAAAGAUCCGACAUUUUACUCAAAAUGAAACUGAAAUAUUUGUAGUAAAUUUUGCUGCAAAUAUGCUUUCAUUUAUUUUCAUAGUGUGUAUUCAAAAUGAAACAAAUAGGAAAAAAUAUGGAAUUGAAAACAAAGCAUUGUGUGUUGAUUUUAACUGAUGGAAGUUCACAUACAAACAUACACAUACAAACGGUACAAGUUUUGUUUAAUCAAUAACUAAUCAAAGACAUUUUCACUUGCCGUAAAAUAAAUACCUUUAAACGAGGGAAAAUAGUUUAAUAUGUAAUAUGUAAACAGUGGAUAUCAUCAACAGAUGUUUCGUUAGAGAGCAGCAGAUAACAUCAACUAAAUAUUUCAGAAAUUUUACAUGGAAGCGGCCAUGAUCAAUUGGCGCCUGAGCAUCGACUUCGUCAAAUGCACCUAAGUGACCCUUAUCGAUGGAAGAAAUCAAGUCGCAAAUGCAAUAGCUAUUUGAGGAUUGAGGCGGCGAGCUGGUGGAGUUGUUAGCACGCCGGGAAAUGCUUAGCGGCAUUUCGUCCGUCUUUACGUUCUGAGUUCAAAUUCCGCCGAGAUCGACUUAGCAUUUUAACCUUUCGGGAGACAACAAAAUACAGUACCAGUCGAACACUGCUCCGAAAUUACUGGCCUUGUGCCAAAAUAUGAAACCAAUAUUUAUUUUGUAAAGAAGUUCUCUUCUUGACUUUCAUUAUCAGAUGAGGUAGAUGAUGAUGAUGAUGAUGCGCUAGAUCAGUGUUUCUCAAACUUUUUACCCUAGCGUAACCCUUAAAAUAAAUUACGUGUCUCAAGGAACCCUUGUACAAAAAAAAAAAUGAUGCACCAUACCUUUCAUAUUAUUUCAUCGUAGUUACAAUAACUAAUAUUACGAUAACCAACAAUAUGUUGUGCAUGAAUAAUAAUAUUACGAUCAUGAAAUUAGCAUUAGCUUAUCUCACACUUUCUCGCAGAACCCCUAGGGACCUUUUGCGGAACCCCGGUUGAGAAACGCUGCUCUAGAUAGUACAGAAAGAAGUGAUGCUUCAGUUAAGCUCUGAAUGGGAAAAUGUGCGCCGAUUUUUCUCCAUUUAUAUACAUUCGUUUGACAAUAACAUUGCAGGAAUCUCAAAUGGGUUUAUGGCACUUCUGUCUUUAUUUUUAUAAUCUAAGACAGUUCAAAAAGUAUUUUCAUAUUUUUUUUAAAACUUAUAUAUAGUGAAAAUAAGUAUAAAAAUUACUCUUAAGAAACAAAGGUGUUCGUUGUUUUUUGGGGGUUUUUUUUCACGUCUAGCACGCGCAGCCAUACAACCUUAACCAGCCGUUUAAGAGAGAUUGUUGGGUGUACAACUACAGUUCAGUGAUUUCCCCUCUUGUGCCUUAACCAAAUUUAAUUUCCUUAUUAGUUUCUGAAAAAUGUCUAAAUUUCUUUAAUGAAAUUUUGAGGCAAGACUAGUGUGAUCCCAAUAAUUCUUUCAAUCAUUUUUAAGGCGGAAAGAAAAACAAGUAAGAAGGACAAGUGUGGGAAGUCGGAACUGUAAUUCAUUUCGUCUUUCACCCAAUAACAACUUUAAUUGCAACAAGACGGCAGCUUGUGUACAGGUAUAUAAUUAGGCGCGCGCACAUGCAUCACCAUCAGAAACGUAAUACGUAGAUUCACAUGAAUGCACUCAUGGGAUAAAACCCGUUCGUAUGCAAUCAGUCACGCACAAAUAAUCACAGACGCACGUUGACAUACUUACACAUACGUGUCAACCCAAAGAAGGAAUCUUUGGUGUCAGUUAGGAAACGUCUUCGAAGAUCGAUUUCAAACUGCUACGGGAAAGAACUGCCAAGUCUCUCCCAAAUUUCAGCUCAUUAAGUUUGCCCAUUUGGAGAUAUCUCACUACAACAAUUGCACGCGCGCACACGCACACACACACUCACGCAAACUCACACUCGUACACACAAACACACACACACACACUCGUACACACACUCACACGUACACACUGAAGAAUACAUGACUCGGGGUCUAUUUUGCUCCGAAUGCCAUACACGAAUUUACAAACACACAAUCAUAAAUAAACUAACACACAAUAUUACAUAAUAUUUAUACAUGUACCCUGCUUCCACACAUACACGUAUACGCAUACACAUAUACACUUUGAAGAAUAUAGAAUUUAUUCUCUGCAGAGUUGAUUGCUCUGAAUACAAACGCAUAAUCACCAACACGGGCAGAAACACACACACACGAACAUGAAUAUACACAAUCACAAACACACACACACAAAUAGAGUGAAUGUGUGUGUGUGUGUGUGUGUGUGUGUGUGUGUGUGUGUGUAUGUGUGAUCUGUUAGCAGCGAAUCGAUUGAGCCAAACUAAAUCUAUUGACAAUGAAGACCCCGAAUAGUUAUCUACGACGAGUUAUUCAGAUGAAAAGACCCUUUUUCUCCCCACCUUCUCCUGAUCGAAUCGUUAGAAUUCUCAUCUCCUUUACGGCGCCCUUGCAUUAUCUCGGAGUUCGAUACUGGCGACGGUGGUGGUGGUGGUGGUUCGUUAUAGAAACAAUGGCGAUGGUGGAGGAAUGUCAGUGGUGGUGGCCGCGGUGGCGACGGUAGUAAAAGAGCACUUUCUACAUAAAUAUUUUUUACCAUCUUCAGACAUUAAAACUAUACUCAACCUCCUUGACUUCUUAUAAAUGUUGUUUAACUUGAAAUUACCACAGUUUAUCUUCGCCAUUUUUCACGGAACUAAUAUGUUUUCUUCUGAUAAAUACGAAAAAGUUAUCUUUACAACAAAUAACCCUCACCAAACACCGCCGCCGCCGCCUUCACGAUGAUGAUAACUUUAAAUCGAACGCGUAUGACAAGAGAAUCACCAAUUUAAUGGUCGCACCAGCAGCACUGCACUCCCCAUACGGAAUUAAAGCAAAUCCAAACACAAGAGUUAAUCAUUGUAUCCUUUGAAGAUUACACAACCAUUCUUCCUGUAGAAUCUAUAACUAACACAUCCACCCCUCCCAGAACUAAUGGCCUCUUCCAAUGUCGGUUCCAUAAAUGUGUUGGUGAAACAAGCAUAGCUUCUCUCAAUCGCAUCCUCCUCUAUUUCCUAUUAAACUAUUUUACACAAGAUAACGUUAUGAACCAGUAAUAGAAAUAUAUGUAUGUGUCUGCUGGAAUAUUCGGGGGAAAGAUACGGAUAUAUGCAUGGCCUGUUGCACUGAAGCAUAUGCAUGUGUAAGUGCUACUAUGUCUAGCGUACGUGUGAGAAGAUUCGUGUGUACUCGGUAGAGAAGAAUAUGUAUAUUGCAACGAGUAUUAGUACAUGUAUGCACACACACACAUUUAUAUAUGUGGGUAUAUGUAAGAGUACACAUAGUGUAGAUGUAAAAAUGUUUCCGUGCAUAUGUACACGCGCUACACAUACAUAUAUAUACAUAUACACAUAUAUGUUUAUUGUUGUCAUAUCAUUGUUAUUUUAUUUUAUUCAACGUCAUCGCUCUUCUGGUCUGUUAGAAUCCUUGUGGUUACUAUGGUUACCAUAACUGUCCAUUCACCUCAUUGGUCAAAUCAUGGAUUUAAAUGACCAAGUCAAGUUUAUUAAGUUGUACAGGAGAUAUUAAGGAAGACGUUGAUGAUAAUGAUGAUGAUGGUGGUGGUGGUGAUGGUUGAGGUGUUGGUGGUAGUGGUGGCGACGAUGAUGUCAGCUGCUAGAUUUGGAAAAGAAAGAAAUUAAAAAUGGUCGACCAUAGCUGCUGUAGGUGUUUAAGGCCAUGAUCAACCAUCAUUGAUCAAAAGCCUUUCCAACCGUGGCCAUAUAUUUUAACUAAACAGAAAAGUAGAUAUCAUCAGUUGUAAUUUCUUACUGUUAAACAUUGUCGCUCAUGAUCAAGCAGAUCUGUGUUCCACCCAUGCCCAUCCCGUCUAUAUAUCAAGGCGCAGUGUACCAAGCACCAGAACAUCUAAUAUGUUCUUUUAAAGUUCAAACUGAAUCUCUUGCUAUGAUGUUAGGGAUUUGGAACCAAGAUAUGAUUUUCGUAGAGAUUUGGCUGCAGAUCGAACCACCCACCAUGCUGAGACUCUCUUUGGAAUCAUAAUGGCAGAGAUAUCACUGAGGAAACAACCAGAAUAUUUAUCCUCGAAGACAGAUCAAUUAGAUAUUUUCUAGAAUUCUAUGAAGUCUGUCUUCUUUAUUCUUUCAUUCUAUAGCUGUGAAUUUUGGCAACUUUAGAAGAAGACAAGAGAAAAGAAUGUCUUUGACACCAGGUGUGUUCGUAAGAUCGUUGGCACUAACUAAGAUGGACUGCCGGUGUGAAAAUACCGAAGUGAGAGAGAGAGAGAGAGAGAGAGAGAGAGAGAGAGAGAGUGUGUGUUCCAAAUUAGAAUUACCAAAGUAGCUCUCUUCAUGUCUAUGGUCUGCUAGACAGAAGGAUGUUUACAUGGUUGUCUGGUGCGAUGAUGGCAGCAAAAAUUGGCUGCAAUGGCAGAAAGCUUUCUUUCUUCUUCAGCCUCUCUCUCUCUCUCUCCUCCCUCUCUCUCUCUCUCUCUCUCACGCACACACACACAGACACGCACGUACGCUCACUCGCAAACAUUCAUAUACGCAUACGUACUUGCGUCCUACCGAUAAAUACACGCACGUAUAGAACAACACAAACGCACUCAUGGUAACAUACACACUACAAGCAUACACGCAAACGCCUUCACACACACAUACACAGACACGUGUUCGUAGACACACUCACGGAUACCUGCACCAUUCAUCAUCGCCGUGUGAGGCUUUAUUUAUUAAACCAAGACCGUGCGGAGUUGUUAAACUGUUCCUCAGUUGGGUGGCAGCAGUAAAAAGCAGCCAAGAGAGAGAAGAAAUUCCGAUGUCUUUGACACUAAGUGUCAUUUACACGAUUUCGGAGAUGAAAUAGAAUGGAAUUUAAAUGUGAGAUGGAGAGAGUGGUGGGAAGAGGAAAGGACGUUUGAAGCCGCUCUUUCCUCCUUUCAGCGAUAACAGUCAAAGGCAGCCACUACGUGGUUACAAGACUUGCUAGAAGCAGUAGCCAAUUUUCCCUCAGACCGCAAAUUUUUAGCAUCUUUAAACACAAAGGAAAGAUUCUUCUAUGUUCUUAAGAUGGGAACGGUCAUGAGUGGCUGGGAUGUUUGGAUCAUAGGUCCCUGUUGGAGCAGUGUUGUCCUGGGGUUAAACAACGUCUUUGAGGUUUGGCGGAAGGAGAGGGAGGAGAAAGAGAAGUGAAGGGGCAGUGCCCUCUCUCCCUCCCUCCCAGUAUAGGGACAUUGAUGUGAUGACAUUUCAAACUUAUACAACUCUGAGUGGGAGAUACAGGAAGAGUAAUCUCUGGGGAAAAGAGGUUGGGUAAAAUAGCCGUUGUUGGGUGUAGGUGAGGAGGAAGAGAGCCGAGAGAGGAGGGACAAAACUGGUGGAAGAUGUAGGAGAGAUAGGAGUGAUAAGGUGAGAGGGAGAGUACGGGUGAUGAGAGAGGAGAGUGUAACAGAAGAGGAGGAGAUAAUUGUGAGAGUGGAGGAGAGAAGGUAAUGGUGUGAUAUUUAACUGGUUUAGAGGUGCAUUGAGUGUUAUAGCUGAGGUGAAAGGAGGGACAGAGAGAAGUACAGCAUGUCUCAGACCCAUUGUGUCAAUGAUUGACUCAGUGAAAUGAAAGAGAGGGAACGUUUGUCAAGGUUAUGAAGGUGGGUCAGAAUGUUUAUGAUUUGAGUUGCUUUGCUGGACCUUCAAGGCUGCACUUUUUGAGAUUUAAGUUAGAUCUUCGUGUUAUUUCAAGCAAGUCAGACAAUUACAUAAGGAAGGAUUUCCUCUUUGGGUGAUAGAAGUAAAAUGAAGUGAAAACCUCAAAAUUGCUUGUCUGAGAAUUGAAACCUGCAUUGCAGAAUCAUCAUAUGUUUUUGAAGUUUUAACUCCUAAAUGAUGAUUAUAGAGGCAUUGAUUUUUUAAUAGAACAUUCUUUGUUUGCUGUUUGUGACAGCAAAAGUGAUAAGGGAAGGACAGAGCAAAUAUAUCAGGGUACAUCACUCAUAACUAUUUUGAUUUUUUUUACUUUCUCCUUACCUCUGUUGUAUACAACAGGUUUGUUUCUGUUUCCAAAAUAUUCUUUUUUCUUUGUGCCCUUUUAAAACCUAACCAGGCUCAUGGGCCCGGUUUCCCGGUUUCAAUGGCAUAUGUGUUCCUCAACUGGACAGGCUGCCAGUCCAUCACAGCGUUACUCAUUUUUGCCAGCUGAGUGGACUGGAGCAACAUGAAAUGAAGUGUUUUGCUCAAGAACACAGCGUGUCACCCGGUCCAGGAAUCGAAACCACAAUCUCACGAUUAUGAUGCUGACACCCUAACCACUAAGCCACAUGCCUCCACUUCCAAAAUAUUACUCACAAGAUAUUAGAUGAGAGACAUGCUCAAGGUGCUGCUCUGAAAUGGAAUCAAACCUGGAAUGACGUAGUUGAAAUGAACUUCAUAACCUUGCAGCCGAUCUGAGGGAUUAUCACUAGACUACAAUGUUGAGACACAACCAGAAACACCCUGACCCCACCCAACUCAUUCACUCUUUUCUUUGUUCAGUCAUGUGACCUUCAACUCUUUCUUACUGCUCAGCUAUUGAUUGUACAAAAGGCCUUUGUGUGUGCAAAGUUGUAAACUGUUGUAUGUUGAAUGUGAGUGCAGUUGUGUACUGUUAUCUGUGUAUUUUGCUAUUGUGUACAUGUGUGUAUUGAGGGAUGUUUUUUUUUUACUUAUUUCAGUCACUAGACUGUUGCCAUGCUGGGGCACUGGCUCGAAGAAUCAUAAUUGAAUGAAUUGACCCCAGUAUUAAUUUGUUUUUUAAAGCUUACAAAGAAUAAGUCCUGGGGUCGAUUUGUUCGAUUAAAGGCGGUGCUCCAGCAUGGCCACAGUCAAAUGACUGAAACAAGUAAAAGAGUAAGCCUAACGUUUAUUCUUGUUAAGGUCAUCUUUACCGAAUUUUCUAUCAAAAUUAUAACCAGAUGGAUUUCGUUACAACAUUUCUUAUUGGAGACACCAAAUGUAAACAACACUAAGAUCAAAGAUGAAACAUGGGUAACAGACGGAUAUGCCAUAUUCCAGGAGUUUUUGAUCCUUUAUCAACACCCAUCUAACCCAAUGACCCUCAAAAAACUCAUUGUAAAAUUGGUAUAUCUAACAAUGUUACACCAUGACAUUUAAUGGCUAUUUAAGCAAUAUAUUUGUGGAUGGUUAAUGGGUUUUAUGGGUGUUGAUGAAGGAGCAAAAACUCUUGGAAUAUGCCAUAUACCUGCAGUACCCAUUUCUCAUCUUUGAUCUUGUGCGCCUACAUUUUUCAAAUUCUCCAAACCAUUGGUUCUCAACUGGGGUCCACAUGUCCCCUGAGGGGGGACCAUAUAAUAUUUUUAAGGGUCCAUGCUACAAAAUAGUAAAUUGGAAACCCAGAAUAGUUUCUUGAGGACCCCUGAAGAAAUUUUGCUUUAGAUGUAUGUAUUGGUAUGUAUUGCAAGAAACAGCUAGGUUUCUUUCUCUAACGCUUUACAUAGUUCAAACUACACAAGGUGAUGUGUAAAAAAACUAAAUAGGAAUUUUGAAAGACGUUUCUACAAAACUACCCUUUAGACAUAGAAUGACUAAGGGGUCCACCAGGAUAAAAUAGUAAUCAAGGGACAAAAAAAUGGUUGAGAAACCUUUAUCUCUAUGGUCAUUUGACCAGCUGGGAACAUCAGGCAAAUCUUUCUCCAGUCACCACCACCACCUGGGUUCUCUGCAUACAGGGAAAAGAUGAGAUGGUCACAAGUAGAAAGAGUGACCCUUGGACAAAUUUUUAAGCUAGGUACUUUAUUGUAUCAGAGUCUUUUGCUGAACUGCUAAGUUUCAAGGAUGUAAACACACCAACAUCAGCUGUCAAGCAGUGAUGGGGGGGACAAGCACAGACACAAAGACAUGCACACACACACAUAUAUAUAUAUAUAUAUAUAUAUAUAUAUAUAUAUAUUAUUACAAUAUAUAAAAGGGCUUAGUAAAAUAAAUUACUUUGAUACUGAACUCAAUGCACAUACUUAUACUUGCUUCAGUCAUUUGACUGUGGUCAUGCUGGAGCACUGCCUUUAGUUGAGCAAAUCGACCACAGGACUUAUUCUUUGUAAGCUUAGUACUUAUUCUACCGGUCUCGUUUGCCGAACCGCUAAGUUACAGAGAUGGAAACACACCAGCAUCGGAUUUCAAGUGAUGGUGGGGGGACAAACACAGACACACAAACAUACUCACUCGCACACACAUAUAUGUACAUACAAUUGAUUGAAAUUUUGUGUUUCAGAGCAAAAGAUAAAUAUCAAGUCAGCAUCACUAUCAUCCAUCAGUUUCUGUCUACCAAAUUCGCUCACAAGCAACGCCUUGGCCAGCCCAAGAGUAGAAUAGAAGACACUUGCCCAAGGUGCCACGCAGUGAGACUGAACCCAGAACCAUGUGGUUGGGAAGCAAGCUUCUUAUCACACAGUCACUCUUGCACACACACACACACACACACACACACACACACACACACACACACACACACACACACACGCGUCUUCUUUUAGUAUCAGAAACAGACAGAGCUACUCUGUUAUCUGUGAUGGCCCCUACACUAGGGGAUUGAUAACGUUGGUGGGGUGGGGGUUAAGUCUAGGUAGUGGAGGAAAGUGAGUUGGGGUAGAUAAAUGGGGAGACUGUGGUGGGAAGUGAUGGUGGUGACAGUGGAGUAAUUGAAGUCUAGAAAUAAUGAUGAUGAUGAUGAUGACAACGAUGAUGAUGAUGAUGCGGAAGAUGAGUUUUGAUGACAACAGCAACAUCAACAA
rnacentral:lncRNA from 1 species